rnacentral:rRNA from 1 species
UACGUAGGGGGCAAGCGUUGUUCGGAAUUACUGGGCGUAAAGCGCGCGUAGGCGGUCUGAAAAGUCAGAUGUGAAAGCCCCGGGCUCAACUUGGGAACUGCAUUUGAUACUGUCAGACUAGAGUACAGAAGAGGUGACUGGAAUUCCCAGUGUAGCGGUGAAAUGCGUAGAUAUUGGGAGGAACACCAGAUGCGAAGGCGGGUCACUGGGCUGAUACUGACGCUGAAGUGCGAAAGCCCAGGGGAGCGAACGGG